GGGCGGUUAGCUCAGUUGGUUAGAGCACUAGCUCGACACGCUAGGGGUCGGCAGUUCGAGUCUGCCACCGCCCA
rnacentral:tRNA from 2 species